CCUACGGGUGGCAGCAGUGAGGAAUAUUGGUCAAUGGUCGGGAGACUGAACCAGCCAAGCCGCGUGAGGGAGGAAGGUACAGAGUAUCGUAAACCUCUUUUGUCAGGGAACAAAGGCGGGGACGUGUCCCCGGAUGAGUGUACCUGAAGAAACAGCAUCGGCUAACUCCGUGCCAGCAGCCGCGGUAAUACGGAGGAUGCGAGCGUUAUCCGGAUUUAUGGGGUUUAAGGGGUGCGCAGGCGGUUUGUUAAGUCAGCGGUCAAAGCCCGGGGCUCAACCCCGGCCCGCCGUUGAAACUGGCAGGCGCGAGUUGGAGAGAGGUAUGCGGAAUGCGCGGUGUAGCGGUGAAAUGCAUAGAUAUCGCGCAGAACUCCGAUUGCGAAGGCAGCAUGCCGGCUCCACACUGACGCUGAGGCACGAAAGCGUGGGUAUCGAACAGGAUUAGAUACCCGUGUAGUC
rnacentral:rRNA from 1 species